rnacentral:rRNA from 1 species
GCCCGAGUUGUAAUUUGCAGAGGAUGCUUUUGGUGCGGUGCCUUCCGAGUUCCCUGGAACGGGACGCCACAGAGGGUGAGAGCCCCGUAUGGUCGGACACCAAUCCUGUGUAAAGCUCCUUCGACGAGUCGAGUAGUUUGGGAAUGCUGCUCUAAAUGGGAGGUAAAUCUCUUCUAAAGCUAAAUACCGGCCAGAGACCGAUAGCGCACAAGUAGAGUGAUCGAAAGAUGAAAAGCACCUUGAAAAGGGGGUUAAACAGUACGUGAAAUUGUUGAAAGGGAAGCACUUGUGACCAGACUUGGGCCGGGCGGCUCAUCAGGGGUUCUCCCCUGUGCAUUCCGCCCGGUACAGGCCAGCAUCGGUUCUUACCGGGGGAUAAGAACGGCAGGAACGUGGCUCCCUCUCGGGGGAGUGUUAUAGCCUGCCGUACGAUACCCUGGCGGGGACCGAGGUUCGCGCUUCCGCAAGGAUGCUGGCGUAAUGGUUACUAGUGACCCGUCUUGAAACACGGACCAAGGAGUCGUCCAUUAGAGCGAGCGUUUGGGUGUAAAACCCGCACGCGUAAUGAAAGUGAAAUUAGGUGAGAGCUUCGGCGCAUCAUCGACCGAUCCUGAUGUUCUCGGAUGGAUUUGAGUAAGAGUUUUAACGGACGGACCCGAAAGACAGUGAACUAUGCUUGUAUAGGGUGAAGCCAGAGGAAA